rnacentral:rRNA from 1 species
CCUACGGGUGGCAGCAGUGAGGAAUAUUGGUCAAUGGGCGGAAGCCUGAACCAGCCAAGUCGCGUGAAGGAUGAAGGUCCUACGUAUCGUAAACCGCUUUUGUCCGGGAAUAACGACUGUUACGCGUCCGCGUUUGACUGUACCGUAAGAAAAAGGAUCGGCUAAAUCCGUGCCAGCAGCCGCGGUAAUACGGAAGGUCCGGGCGUUAUCCGGAUUUAUUGGGUUUAAAGGGUGCGGAGGCGGUCUGUCAAGCCUGCUGUUAAAUGCCCGGGCUCAACCCGGGCCUCGCCGUUGAAACUGGCAGGCUCGAGUUCGCGGGAAGCAGGCGGAAUGCGUGGUGUAGCGGUGAAAUGCAUAGAUAUCACGAAGAACCCCGAUUGCGAAGGCAGCAUGCCGGAGCGCAACUGACGCUGAGGCACGAAAGCGUGGGUAUCGAACAGGAUUAGAUACCCUUGUAGUC